GGACUUACAUGGCAGGUGAGAUACCAUGAUCAGGAAGGUGUUUUUCUCAGGAUUAAACUCAUCCAUUGCACUCCAGGUGUGCUGAAUCUUAGGAUUUCCCCAAAUGCGGGAAAUUUGUCUGCAAAAUUUGUAGACUUGUGCACUGGAGCUAGUUUCGGCAUU